ACUCAAAUGAAUUGACGGGGACCCGCACAAGCGGUGGAGCAUGUGGUUUAAUUCGACGCAACGCGAAGAACCUUACCAAGUCUUGACAUCCUUUUGACCGGUCGGUAAUGCGACCUUCUCUUCGGAGCAAAAGUGACAGGUGGUGCAUGGUUGUCGUCAGCUCGUGUCGUGAGAUGUUGGGUUAAGUCCCGCAACGAGCGCAACCCUUAUCUUUAGUAGCCAGCAUUUCGGAUGGGCACUCUAGAGAGACUGCCAGGGAUAACCUGGAGGAAGGUGGGGAUGACGUCAAAUCAUCAUGCCCCUUAUGACUUGGGCUACACACGUGCUACAAUGGCGUAAACAAAGGGACGCAAUACCGCGAGGUUGAGCAAAUCCCAAAAAUAACGUCUCAGUUCGGAUUGUAGUCUGCAACUCGACUACAUGAAGCUGGAAUCGCUAGUAAUCGCAAAUCAGAAUGUUGCGGUGAAUACGUUCCCGGGUCUUGUACACACCGCCCGU
rnacentral:rRNA from 1 species